rnacentral:rRNA from 1 species
UACACACGUGCUACAAUGGUCGGUACAAAGGGUUGCCAAGCCGCGAGGUGGAGCUAAUCCCAUAAAACCGAUCGUAGUCCGGAUCGCAGUCUGCAACUCGACUGCGUGAAGUCGGAAUCGCUAGUAAUCGUGAAUCAGAAUGUCACGGUGAAUACGUUCCCGGGCCUUGUACACACCGCCCGUCACACCAUGGGAGUGGGUUGCACCAGAAGUAGCUAGUCUAACCCUCGGGAGGACGGUUACCACGGUGUGAUUCAUGACUGGGGUGAAGUCGUAACAAGGUAGCCGUAGGGGAACCUGCGGCUGGAUCACCUCCUUAA